AAGAAAUUAGUUUAUAAUUAAAAACAUUAACUUGUCAAGUUAAAAAUACUAACUGUAUUUCUUU
rnacentral:tRNA from 1 species